UACAGAGGUCUCAAGCGUUUGUUCGGAUUCAUUGGGCGUAAAGGGUGCGUAGGUGGCGGGGUAAGUCAGGUGUGAAAUCUCGGGGCUCAACCCCGAAACUGCACUUGAUACUGCCUUGCUCGAGUACUGGAGAGGAGAUUGGAAUUUACGGUGUAGCAGUGAAAUGCGUAGAUAUCGUAAGGAAGACCAGUGGCGAAGGCGAAUCUCUGGACAGUUACUGACACUGAGGCACGAAGGCCAGGGGAGCAAAGCGGGG
rnacentral:rRNA from 1 species